rnacentral:rRNA from 1 species
UUCCGUAGGUGAACCUGCGGAGGGAUCAUUACACAAAUAUGAAGGCGGGCUGGAACCUCUCGGGGUUACAGCCUUGCUGAAUUAUUCACCCUUGUCUUUUGCGUACUUCUUGUUUCCUUGGUGGGUUCGCCCACCACUAGGACAAACAUAAACCUUUUGUAAUUGCAAUCAGCGUCAGUAACAAAUUAAUAAUUACAACUUUCAACAACGGAUCUCUUGGUUCUGGCAUCGAUGAAGAACGCAGCGAAAUGCGAUAAGUAGUGUGAAUUGCAGAAUUCAGUGAAUCAUCGAAUCUUUGAACGCACAUUGCGCCCUUUGGUAUUCCAAAGGGCAUGCCUGUUCGAGCGUCAUUUGUACCCUCAAGCUUUGCUUGGUGUUGGGCGUCUUGUCUCUAGCUUUGCUGGAGACUCGCCUUAAAGUAAUUGGCAGCCGGCCUACUGGUUUCGGAGCGCAGCACAAGUCGCACUCUCUAUCAGCAAAGGUCUAGCAUCCAUUAAGCCUUUUUUUCAACUUUUGACCUCGGAUCAGGUAGGGAUACCCGCUGAACUUAAGCAUAUCAAUAGCCGGAGGA